rnacentral:lncRNA from 1 species
CAAUCACACCUUCUCAUCAAAGAAGGAGAUGUUUCUUCAGCAUUCCUGAGAGAUGCUCAUCUGGUCACUUUGGGAAUAUUUUUUGGCGGUUACUUGGAUUUAAUUAUUAUACUCUGCCAGUCUGUAAAUUCUACCUAUGUAUUAGUUGUCUACUACUCUAAACAUUUGAUCGACAUUCAUUCAUUACUUAUAACAACCUUAAGAUAUACAUUCUGUCACCCCCCAUUUUAUAGAUAAGGAGACCAAAGCACAGAAAGCAGAAAUGCCUAAGGCCAGUCCUUACACAUUAUGACAGAAACCUGUAUCGGCUUGAUCUCGGUCAUCAUUUUUUGGCUCCAGUGUAACUCCAGGCAAGGGGAAAGGUCGAAUUUCGUACCAGGAAGGAGAAGCCAGUUGCUUCCAACAUGGUGUCAUGAGGUCGUUCCUCUAGAAAAGGCUCACCAAUCAAAAGUAUUCCAGGUCCUUCUGGCUUCGAACAAAGGAUGGACACGACAGGCCACAAAUGACGCCAAACGUUUAUUUGAAAAGUUCGAGUUUCGCUUCCUGUACUAGAUCGUGUGGCAUCUCAGCGACAUUCUUGCUUCCUUCGUGUCCUCCCCUGUAUUGCAGGAGCUGGACAUCCAUGAGACACAGUUCCCAUCCCUCUCCCAGGCACAGCUCCAGCUUUGAUGACGUCCAGGAACACUGUCUGGAGACCCUUGAGGUGAGAGGUGUGGACAGUAUUGCUCCAGCAGCAGCAGCAGGCAGUGGGUAGUCUUUGGCAGCUCUGGGAAUAAGGCUGAAGGUGCCAUGAGUUGAAGAUGUCUUCCUGCACAUCACCCAGCUGAGUGCUACAAGUAGCUGAGACCACUGGUAGUUCCCACUUAGCCUGAUUUCCUGAAUGCUAGAAGCAGGUUUCCUGCCCUUCCAACAGGUUUUCAAAAAUAACAGAUCUAUUGAAAUAUAAUUCACACAUCACACAAUUCACCCCAUGUAAAGAAUACAUCUCAGUGGUUUUUAGUAUUUUCAAAAUGUUGCUCAGUCCUCAGCACAAUUAAUUUUAGAUGAUUUUAUCACCCUGAAAAGAAACUCUAUGUACACGAGCAGCCACUUCCCUUUCAUUCCAGGAUGCAUGUUCCUCUCCCAC